AUGGGUCACCAUACAUGGCUGUAUGUCACGUCACUUUUUCCUCUUGCUGAUCUGUCCACAGACAGUCCUCGUGUUCUGUCCACUGCUGAGGCUGUAGGGAUUGUGACUGCUGUAAUGCUCAUCACUAUGAUACUAACUGUUGUGGGGUAUUUAUUCCUGCGCAACAGACGAAGAGCAGGCAGCAAUUUCACUUAUUAUACAACUCAGAGCCCCAGUGACCUACAGGAUGUCACCUAUUCUGAUGUCACAAUACUGAAACCAGGCAAAGCUAACAGAAGCACCUCGUCAUCGGGGGACAUUGAAUACUCUGCGGUUUCCUUCAGUGGUCGGUCAGGAUCAGCGUCCCUGCGAGCCUCAGCCAAUCAGACUGCUUUGGGUUUCCACACAGCAGAGCAUGAAACUGUGUACGCACAGGUGAAAAAAGACUGA
rnacentral:lncRNA from 12 species